rnacentral:ncRNA from 1 species
CAAUACUCCUAGUUUAAGCCUUGGUAAUUCCCGGUAACUCCUGGAAUUGCCAACUAGGAUGCAGGCUAAGGAUUGAGUCCUACGUUGAUUUGGUUAUGACACCUAGGAAUGACCUCCAGUUCCUGGCUCUGUCGCUAAUCAUUAAAGUGAAGGCAAAAUGUGUGGUUAGCCUAACAAGCCAUUUCAACAUUGCCGUUCGCGCAAGCGUGUGCGAAGCAC